GGGGAUUUAGCUCAGGGGUAGAGCGCUUGCCUAGCAAGCACAAGGCCCUGGGUUCGGUCCCCAGCUCCA
rnacentral:tRNA from 1 species